rnacentral:rRNA from 1 species
UAGGGAAUCUUCGGCAAUGGACGAAAGUCUGACCGAGCAACGCCGCGUGAGUGAAGAAGGUUUUCGGAUCGUAAAACUCUGUUGUUAGAGAAGAACAAGGACGUUAGUAACUGAACGUCCCCUGACGGUAUCUAACCAGAAAGCCACGGCUAACUACGUGCCCGCGGCCGCGGUAAUACGUAGGUGGCAAGCGUUGUCCGGAUUUAUUGGGCGUAAAGCGAGCGCAGGCGGUUUCUUAAGUCUGAUGUGAAAGCCCCCGGCUCAACCGGGGAGGGUCAUUGGAAACUGGGAGACUUGAGUGCAGAAGAGGAGAGUGGAAUUCCAUGUGUAGCGGUGAAAUGCGUAGAUAUAUGGAGGAACACCAGUGGCGAAGGCGGCUCUCUGGUCUGUAACUGACGCUGAGGCUCGAAAGCGUGGGGAGCAAACAGG